rnacentral:rRNA from 1 species
CUACGUGCCAGCAGCCGCGGUAAUACGUAGGGUGCGAGCGUUAAUCGGAAUUACUGGGCGUAAAGCGAGCGCAGACGGUUACUUAAGCAGGAUGUGAAAUCCCCGGGCUCAACCUGGGAACUGCGUUCUGAACUGGGUGACUAGAGUGUGUCAGAGGGAGGUAGAAUUCCACGUGUAGCAGUGAAAUGCGUAGAGAUGUGGAGGAAUACCGAUGGCGAAGGCAGCCUCCUGGGAUAACACUGACGUUCAUGCUCGAAAGCGUGGGUAGCAAACAGGAUUAGAUACCCUGGUAGUCCACGCCCUAAACGAUGUCAAUUAGCUGUUGGGCAACUUGAUUGCUUAGURGCGUAGCUAACGCGUGAAAUUGACCGCCUGGGGAGUACGGUCGCAAGAUUAAAACUCAAAGGAAUUGACGGGGACCCGCACAAGCGGUGGAUGAUGUGGAUUAAUUCGAUGCAACGCGAAGAACCUUACCUGGUCUUGACAU